GCUCCCGGUCCCUACGUGUGACCCCUGACCCUCGCCCCGGAAGUCGAGGUGGCUCGGAAGUUCCGGCUCGGUCGCUAGGAAACGGGUCAACCGACGUGCGGGGCGGGGCUUCUCGUCCGGCCGGCGGGCUAGGGGAGGCAGGUGAGGCAGGAAAACUAGCAGUGACAGGGGGGUCCCCAGAGCUGCACCGGGGAGGUGGCAGACAUCCCUCCCCGAAGCCAAGCCCGGAGCCCGGAGAGCCAUUGCCGGUAUGUGAGUCAAGCCUCCGAGCACCCCUACUCAGAUGCCGGCUUGUGAGACCCUCUGUGCAGCACCAAGGAUGGUCUGAGAAGACCCUUCCCUCUGAGCGUGGCUCCCAGGGGACCUCUGCGGUGGGCUUGGGAAUGGUAGACUGAGGAUUCAGAGCUCAGCGGUCCGUUCCAGACCCUGGGCGGGGACUGGGGUGCAGUGUGUGACGGAGCACGGCUUUAGGGCACGUGGAAAUGGGCUGAGGCCCAUGGGGACUGGACAGAGCUGGGUUACAAUUCAUGUUGGGCAUUCUCAA